rnacentral:rRNA from 1 species
AACGAACGCUGGCGGCAGGCUUAACACAUGCAAGUCGAACGCAUCCUUCGGGGUGAGUGGCAGACGGGUGAGUAACGCGUGGGGACGUGCCCUUCAGUUCGGGAUAACCCAGGGAAACUUGGGCUAAUACCGGAUACGUGCGAGAGCAGAAAGAUUUAUCGCUGAAGGAUCGGCCCGCGUCUGAUUAGCUAGUUGGUGGGGUAAUGGCCUACCAAGGCGACGAUCAGUAGCUGGUCUGAGAGGAUGAUCAGCCACAUUGGGACUGAGACACGGCCCAAACUCCUACGGGAGGCAGCAGUGGGGAAUAUUGGACAAUGGGGGCAAGCCUGAUCCAGCCAUGCCGCGUGAGUGAUGAAGGCCUAGGGUUGUAAAGCUCUUUCGUCCGGGACGAUAAUGACGGUACCGGAAGAAGAAGCCCCGGCUAACUUCGUGCCAGCCGCCGCCGUAA